rnacentral:RNase_P_RNA from 1 species
GUAUUUUUCCGUGCCUUAUCGCUUCUAUAUGAAGAGGAAAGUCCGGACAGCAGAGGAUAGCGUGCUUCCUAACGGGAAGGCCUUGCUUGCAAGGACAGCUAGUGCAACAGAAAGAAUACCGCCUUCGGGUAAGGGUGAAAAGGUAGGGUAAGAGCCUACCGCACUUUAGGUGACUAAAGUGGCAUUGUAAACCUCACGCGCUGAAAUGUCAUGUAUAUCGUGUUCCAUUGGACUUGGCUAUCCGUCAAGAGUUUACUGCACGAGGGGUAGGCAGAUGGAUCCUAACUGUGAAGUUAGGACUAGAUAAAUGAUAAGGGCCCUUUAGGGUACAGAAUCCGGCUUAUAACGGAAGUACACCA